GCUAGACAGUUUCUGGCAGGUUCUCAUUGAACACUCGCUUCUGAAAGACUGCUACUUGCUCCCUUUGAGGUCCCAGCCCUGGUCAACAGUCCCAGCUGAGCCUGUAUUUAGCCAUUUCAGCUCAGACUCCAGGCUUGUGAAGAAAGAUGCCAUCUUGUAGGUGGACCCUCCAGUCCAAGCUCAUCAGCACUUGCUCCUUGAAUGAAGAUGAAUGAGUCAGAGAGUUCAUUUGGAAUUUGAGUUUACCAAGAUAUGAAAGGCAAAGGUGUCUUCGUUUUAUUUCCAAAAAAGCAACAGCAACAGUCCUUAGAAGAAAAGUGAAAAAGUGACUAAGGCUGGAUGAAAGCAGACACAGCCAAAAGAUUGAUUUCAUAAACUGCAAGGGGACAAAAAGAGGUUAAGAGCUCAGCCACUGGUCGGAGGCCACUGCAGGCCAAGGAAAGGUUCUACCCUCAUAAUAGAGAGCAAGCAGUGCUGGAGAUUGUCAACUCUAUCAUGACCUGCAACUGAAACCAGAGUGAUUUCUCUAUGUCCCUGGAAUUAUGGGAAUAAGAAGAAGGAGGCGAAAUUCUAUUUUUUCUCAUCUAUGUUAUUCAGAAUAAAAAUAAAAUCAUUCUUAAUUGCC